CCUGCUACUCACUAGUCUGUCUGCAGCUGUAAAGCUAAUCUGAUAUCAUGUUUACAUUUUGCUGAUAUGUAAGUGGUGUAGUGUUUUCAUGAUUCUGAAGGGUAUCAAAUUUAAGCUGAGUAAAUUGAAGGAUGUAAUUAAUACACAACAGAUGUAUAAAGCAAGGAAUCUCAUGUCAAAUUUGGAUAGAUAGAUAUUGAUGAAUAAAAAAAUAUUAAGAGAUUGCUUUCCUGUUUGCUUUAAAAGGUACUGGAUUACUUACAGUAAGACCAACUUUGAGCACCACAUCAAAGUUUGACAAGUCUUCCUGAUGACUGUGCUUUUCAGGAUUUAAUGGACCUCUACAAGAUGGAAGACACGGAUAAACAAUGGAUGACCCUUGCAAUCCAUGAGGAGUGAGCACAAGUGAGAUGAAUGAAGAACUUCAAACAGAGCAAGACCUCAAACAGAUAACAACAUCCAAUUCCAUUCCCCAAAGAGCAGGAGAACAUCCAGACCUACAGAAACCUGCAGAAAAAGAUGAAAGAACUGAAAGUUGACAAGUACAGUCAACUUUUUGUGACAUGUAGCUCUGGUGUCAGUUACAGAACUUGCUGGCUGACUAGAUAAGUAUGAAAUCUAAAGCCGAUAAGGAUAUUAAAAGAGAUUUUUUAAAGUGUGUUUUACUUUUUGUGUGUGUUCUUUAGUUUCUUUUAAAAUAUAAAUGAUGCCUGUUGACA
rnacentral:lncRNA from 1 species